GAGUUUUCUUAUUCCUGGAGCAAGCCUC
rnacentral:piRNA from 1 species